AACCAGGUUUCCAGAAGUUCCCCAGUCAUUGAGCAUUUCUGAGGCUCUUGAUGCAUAUGCCAAGUAGUUAUGGAGAAAGACACAGCAGCUUACCUCUGCAGGCAUCAUUGUGUGAAAGGAAGACCCAGGCUCUCUCACCACCCUUCAACAGAAGCCUUUUGCUAAGGUGAUAGCUACAUGUCCAAGCCUAUUGCGUGGCAUGCAUUUUGCCUUCUGCAGCCCACUAAAGGAAAUUGAGGUAUACGGAAUGCUUAUUUGGUUUACUCAGUAUCAUCCUAAAUGUAUGUACCAAUGCUUAGGAGUUUGCAGUUCACCCGCAAACCUCAGCGAUCCAAGCUCCCCUGGAUGACCAUCACUCACCAAGAAAAGAACAAUAACAGGACCUGUUUUGCUAAUCCAGGACUGUUCUCCAGCACUAACUCUAAAUAAUCCCUUCUGCUAGAGUCCACUUUCUGGAACCUGUUGCCUCCGUUUUCAACGUUUCCCAAACUUGGUCCGUUGUGUGAGCUGGCUGAUAAAAGUUCCAGGGAGAGGACAUCUUACUCUUAUUGGAUCAUGCACAGUGCCUGAAGCAUUCUGUUGCAUGUAGAAAUCAGUAAAUUGCAGAUGUAAGAUUCAAAACCAGACUUCACAUCUACCGACUUCAGUGACCCUGAAAUUUGUUCACAGAGAGCAUUUAACAUAACUGUCUUCAUCAUCUCCUUCUCUACAUUAAAAAUUAUGGAAAAUACAGGGAGGUGUGAUGUACCCAUUAUCACAAGCAGAUGGAAUGCCUAUAGAGUCGGAUCUCAUCUACAUAUCACCUAUUAUAUGUA
rnacentral:lncRNA from 1 species